AACACAUGCAAGUCGUGCGAGAAAGGGGACUUCGGUCCCUGAGUAGAGCGGCGCACGGGUGAGUAACGCGUGGAUUAUCUACCCAGACGUUCGGGAUAACGGCGGGAAACUGCCGCUAAUACCGGAUACGCUCCAAUUUCGGUUGGGGGAAAGGCGGCCUCUGCUUGCAAGCUGUCGCAUCUGGAUGAGUCCGCGUCCCAUUAGCUUGUUGGUGGGGUAAUGGCCUACCAAGGCUACGAUGGGUAGCAUGGUCUGAGAGGAUGAUCAGCCACACUGGAACUGAAACACGGUCCAGACUCCUACCGGAGGCAGCAGUGGGGAAUAUUGCGCAAUGGGGGAAACCCUGACGCAGCGACGCCGUGUGAGGGAAGAAGGCUUUCGNGUCGUAAACCUCUGUCANAAAGGAAGAACCUCCCAGGUCCGAAUANGGCUUGGGACUGACGGUACUUUCAAAGGAAGCACCGGCUAACUCCGUGCCAGCAACCCGCGGUAAUACCGAGGGUGCAAGCGUUAAUCGGAAUCACUUGGCGUAAAGCCCGCGUAAGCCGCUUUUGUAAGCCGCGUGAAAGCCCUNGGGUAACCGGGGAACUGCGUUCNAUACUGCNAGGCNUGAGUCCUGGAAAGGGGUGCGGAAUU
rnacentral:rRNA from 1 species